rnacentral:rRNA from 1 species
UACGUAGGGGGCAAGCGUUGUCCGGAAUUAUUGGGCGUAAAGAGCGCGUAGGCGGUCCGAUAAGUCGGCUGUGAAAGUCAAGGGCUCAACCCUUGGAAGCCGGCCGAUACUGUCGGACUAGAGUCCGGAAGAGGCGAGUGGAAUUCCCGGUGUAGCGGUGAAAUGCGCAGAUAUCGGGAGGAACACCAAUUGCGAAGGCAGCUCGCUGGGACGGUACUGACGCUGAUGCGCGAAAGCGUGGGGAGCAAACAGG